rnacentral:rRNA from 1 species
UGCAAGUAUCAGCACACCUGUGAGAACGCCCUUUAUUCUUUAUAGAAGAUGGAGCUGGUAUCAGGCACAGACCCCCUAGCCCAUGACACCUAGCUUUGCCACACCCUCAAGGGUACUCAGCAGUGAUUAACAUUGUUCAUAAGCGCCAGCUUGACUCAGUUAGAUAGACCCAGAGGCCGGCCUAAUACGGUGCCAGCCGCCGCGGCUACACCGUCUAGGCUCAAGUUGAUAAUUUUUCGGCGUUAAGCGUGUUAAAGUUCUCUCCAGAUUAGAAUUAAACUUAAACCAAGUUGUGACACACUUGUUUAUAAGAAAAACACAAACGAAAGUUAUUCUAACAUAACCACUUGAACCCACGACAGCUAGGACACAAACUGGGAUUAGGUACCCCACUAUGCUCAGCUGUAAAAUAUUAAUUACACCAAAACCGCCAAAGAACUACGAGCGCAAGCUUAAAACUUAAAGGACUUGACGGUGCCCCAUCUACCUAGAGGAGCCUGUUCUAUAAUCGAUAAUCCUCGUUAUAUCUUACCUUUUUUUGCUCAUCAGUCUGUAUACUUCCGUCGUAAGCUUACCAUAUGAAUGUAUUAGUAAGUUAAAUAGUAAUAAUAUUACCAAAACGUCAGGUCAAAGUGCAGCCUACAAAAAGGGAAGAAAUGGGCUACAAUUUCUAAUUAAGAACAUACGAAUUUAAGUAACUGAAAACUACUAUGAAGGCGGAUUUAGAAGUAAAGCGAAAAUAAAGUGUUCGCUUUAACAAUGCUCUGGGACGUGUACACACCGCCCGUCAUCCUCUUCAAUACUUUAAAGAAUAAAUAAAUAAUAAUAGACACUAAACAAGAA